AUUGAACGCUGGCGGCAUGCCUUACACAUGCAAGUCGAACGGCAGCGCGGGGCAACCUGGCGGCGAGUGGCGAACGGGUGAGUAAUAUAUCGGAACGUGCCCUGGAGUGGGGGAUAACGUAGCGAAAGUUACGCUAAUACCGCAUACGAUCUAAGGAUGAAAGUGGGGGAUCGCAAGACCUCAUGCUCCUGGAGCGGCCGAUAUCUGAUUAGCUAGUUGGUAGGGUAAAAGCCUACCAAGGCAUCGAUCAGUAGCUGGUCUGAGAGGACGACCAGCCACACUGGAACUGAGACACGGUCCAGACUCCUACGGGAGGCAGCAGUGGGGAAUUUUGGACAAUGGGCGCAAGCCUGAUCCAGCAAUGCCGCGUGAGUGAAGAAGGCCUUCGGGUUGUAAAGCUCUUUUGUCAGGGAAGAAACGGUGCUUUCUAAUACAGAGCGCUAAUGACGGUACCUGAAGAAUAAGCACCGGCUAACUACGUGCCAGCAGCCGCGGUAAUACGUAGGGUGCAAGCGUUAAUCGGAAUUACUGGGCGUAAAGCGUGCGCAGGCGGUUUUGUAAGUCUGUCGUGAAAUCCCCGGGCUCAACCUGGGAAUGGCGAUGGAGACUGCAA
rnacentral:rRNA from 1 species